rnacentral:misc_RNA from 1 species
CAUACCUCCUUGGAUUGGUCUGAUGGAGAAUUUAUUUUACUUGGACUUCUCAAAUAACUCUCUCACUGGGAAGAUCCCAGAAAGUUUGACCGAGCUGAAGAGCCUCAUUUCCCUGCAUUGCAGUAUAUCCAAUGUUUCUGCUGGUGUUCCGCUGUAUGUAAAGAGAAAUCGGAGUGCUAGCGGUUUGCUGUACAACCAACCUACAAGUUUUCCCCCCUCGCUACUUUUGAGUAACAAUAGAAUAAAUGGGGCAAUUUUGCCUGAAAUUGGACGGUUGAAACAGCUCCAUGUCUUAGAUUUGAGCAGGAAUAGUAUAACUGGGACCAUACCUAGCUCCAUAUCAGAAAUGGAGAACUUGGAAACUUUAGAUUUGUCAUCUAAUGAUCUGUAUGGGUCAAUUCCCCCAUCAUUUGAGAAACUCACAUUCUUAUCCAAGUUUAGUGUGGCUAAUAAUCACUUGAAGGGGCAAAUUCCAGCUGGAGGGCAGUUCUCUAGCUUUCCAAGUUCGAGCUUUGAGGGCAACCCAGGACUAUGUGGAGGAGUAGUUUCUCCUUGUAAUGUCAUUACCAAUAUGUUGAAGCCUGGUAUUCCAUCUGGUUCAAACGGUAGAUUUGGUAGAGGAAACAUUGGAAAUAUCCUGGGGAUAACAAUCACUGUGGGAGUGGGGCUUGCACUGAUCCUUGCGAUUGUUUUGCUUAAGAUGUCAAAGAGGGAUGUGGGAGAUCCAAUUGAGGAUUUGGAUGAGGAAAUCAGCUGGCCACACAGAUUAUCUGAAGGCCUUGGGUCUUCCAAGUUGGUGCUUUUUCAGAAUUCAGAUUGUAAGGAUCUUACAGUUGCAGACUUGUUGAAGUCUACAAAUAAUUUUAACCAAGCAAAUAUCAUUGGUUGUGGUGGAUUUGGCCUGGUUUACAAGGCCAACCUUCCCAAUGGUACCAAAGCAGCAAUCAAGAGGCUUUCUGGGGACUGUGGUCAGAUGGAACGUGAAUUUCGAGCUGAAGUGGAAGCACUUUCAAGGGCUCAACACAAGAAUCUUGUUUCUCUUCAAGGUUAUUGCCGUCAUGGUAAUGACAGAUUAUUGAUUUAUUCAUACAUGGAGAAUGGAAGUUUGGAUUAUUGGCUACAUGAGUGUGUUGAUGGAGCUUCAUUUCUUAAAUGGGAUGUGAGACUCAAGAUAGCGCAAGGUGCAGCAUCUGGGUUAGCUUAUCUGCACAAAGUUUGUGAGCCACAUAUAGUUCAUCGGGAUGUGAAAUCUAGCAACAUACUUUUAGAUGAAAAAUUUGAAGCUCAUUUGGCCGAUUUUGGCCUCUCAAGGCUACUUCGUCCCUAUGAUACUCAUGUUACAACGGAUUUGGUUGGCACUUUAGGCUAUAUUCCUCCUGAAUAUAGUCAGACAUUGACAGCAACCUGCAGGGGUGAUGUUUACAGUUUUGGUGUUGUUCUUCUUGAGCUCGUUACUCGUAGAAGGCCUGUGGAAGUUUGCAAAGGAAAAAACUGCAGGGAUCUAGUCUCUUGGGUGUUUCAGAUGAAGUCUGAAAAAAGGGAGGCAGAUGUUGUGGACUCAUCAAUUUGGGACAAAGAUCUCGAGAAGCAGCUGUUUGAAAUGCUUGAAAUUGCCUGUAGAUGCUUAGACCAAGAUCCUAGGCGGAGACCCCUCAUUGAUGAGGUUGUUUCAUGGCUUGAUGGUAUUGGAAUUCAGAGUUCUCAACACUGAAUUUUGUUACUGCAUUUUGAUUCAUGGCCAUUAGCUUCAGUUGGAAGGAAGGUAUACCUGUAAAGCAAACACUAUUCCAAGUUUCUAUAAGAUUGGAGCAAGUCUUGACCAAGCACCUUAUGUUCUUUGUCCUCCAUAGAAACAAUCUUUAGUACUGUAUAUUGACAAAAGUGCUGUGUAUAAAUAGGCUCUUUUGGCCCUUUUUAUGUCAGCAAUAAGCAUCAUAAAAUAUCUUGUUUCUCUCUGUAUAGCUUUUCUUUCUUUGUUCCCC